GAAACCGUUGAUUUUUGAGAGAUAUACUACGAUCAUUUUAAGACAAACCGUCGUUAAAGUACAUUUUGAGAAACAUACCACCACAAUUGAGACGAACCAUCAUUGAAAGGGAGUUUGAUAACAAUCAGGUAGCGUGUGAAUUUAUUCUCCUAUGCUCUACACUCACACACUUACAGAACCUUUGGCGGCAGCCUCCUUCCUCGGUGGUGUCCUCACUUGGCAGUAAUAUCCCGACCCAGCAGCAUCAAGCGCCCGUGCCUCCAUGUUGUGCACGCUUCCUGCUCUGCUUGAGCCCCUAUUCCACACAACUGCGAGUGUCGUGACCUCUGAGCAACCACAUCGAGAGUCGCGAGUGCUUCCUCCGUGCAACCAUUGACGAACAACCAGGCAUGCUUCCUCCUUUGUCGCGCGCAACCAUUGAGAGCACUACCUCCACCGCCAGAGCUUCCUCCGUGUGUGAGCCACGACAAGCCUCCUCUGCGCGAGCCACCAUGAGCACCGCUCCUGCUCUACCACGCCUCUGCAUGAGCCGCGAUGACUCCUCCUCCACUAGCCUCGGCGAGCCACUGUGAUGUGAGUUGAUUUUAGAGUUGUCCAUUUUAAUGGUGACACUUUGUUUAUGAUUUGAAUUUUAACAAUUAAGGGGUGAAACCCACCCAGAGAAGAUUCUCACUGGACACGAACUUAACCAAGUGGUUAAGUAAGUGUGAAGGUUCACUUCUAAAGGCAAAAGAAAAAGCACACAAUAUGUUGAUAAUGAUGAUGUGCUGCGGAAUUGAAAGACAUAACAAGGAAACAAUAAAGAUAAAGGAGAUCGAGUGGAAAAUGAAGCAAAACAAUAACACAAACACAAGAUAGAUGGCAAAAUGGAAAAGGGAAUGAAAAGGAUGAAGGAUAGGAAAAGGUUAUGGAUAUUGGAAUGGAGGAACACGCCACUUCGAGCGUGUGGGAUCUCCAAGAUAAGUGAUGAGUGUCACACCAGUACAAAAAGGUAGAUUAACGACGGUUGAAAUCAACAUUUAAAGACGGUUCCAAACCCAUCGUUAUUACGGGUGUCGUUAAAAGGUGGGGGUUUUUCACAACGGUUCUGGAGCCGUCGUUAAAACUAAGACCUAUAACGACGGUUGUAGAAACCGUAGUUAAAGGUCACUAGUAAUUUUAUUUUGAAAAAUUUAAGGGACUUUUAAAGACGCUUCCCAGAGGAACCGUCAUUGUAAGUAUGCCUUUUAAAGACGGUUCCAAGUGGAAUCGUCGUUAUAUGUAAUGAUUAAAAAAAUUGUUUUUUAAUAAAUCUCAAACCUGCAUAAAAUUUUCAAUUCCAAAAAAUAAAAACAUUUAAAAUCAUAAUUUAAAUAUAAAAAUUACAUACAACAAAUUAUAACAUUAUACAAAAAAGUUUUGCUAAUAUAUGACAAAAUUUGUCAUUGUAAUGAUUUAUCUAUACUAGAGUGUUAUACAGGGUUACGAAAUACUUUGACUAUGUUGUUCUCACAUACUCCAAUGCUUCUAAAUCUAGCGGGUGUUGGUCGUUGAACAAUUGGGACAUUUGAAAUUUUUUGAAUUAGUGCAUGAAUAAUAAAUCUCAAAUUUUAAAGUGUUUAUUGUAUUGAGGUAUUACCUGAUCCCAACCUUUCUUAAUUUCAGCUUGCAAAAUAGUCAACAUCCACUGCAUAACAUAAUAAUCGCACUCAUAAUUUCCAGGUUGCAUGUUGGACUGCAUGUGAAAAUAAAUGUAUUAAAUGAAUGAGUGAAAAACAUUAAAUUAAGUGAACAAAUAUACUUUAAAUCCCUUAAGGUACAUCCAAGUGAGUUUUUGUGCAUUUGAAGUUCUCCUCCCUCACAACAUAUUAUAUCCAGAGUAAACACUAAAAUAAUAAGAUUUCAUGUUAGAAUACAUAACAUUAUAUAAUAUAUAAGUAAUAAUAAAUGUUAAAUGAAAUUGUCGUACCUAUCUAUAAUGUUUUUAAAAUAGGUAGGAGGUUUUUAUGCAAGGAGCAAAACCAUGUAGGGGUAUGAUCUUGAACAGAUAUGAUCAAUAGUUGCCAAUGACGCCUGUAUAACAAAUCAGUUAAUUAGUUUCUCUUAUUUUAAUAAUUUAUUAAAACUUAUUUAAUAAAUAAGAACUUACUCAUGGAUGUACGGAGCAAAAUAAAUGUGUUUUCCACCAUUCUUUAAGGCAGUGGUGAUGUAUGUUUGUGUUUCUGACUUCUUGUUUCCAAUUGAUUGAGUGAUUUGAGGGUCUAAAAACCCAUAUAUAUUGUGUUUCCCCUCAUCAAAGCAUAAUCCAAAAAGAUACCUAAAUUUCAAUAAGUUAGUACUAAUAUAUUUAAUAAAUUAAAAGUAUAAAGAUUUUAAUAUUUGAACUUACAUAAUCCAUAAUUGCAUAAUUUUUACGUUAAUCUCUUGAUCUCUGGCUGCAAGGUCCAACAAAUCAGACAUGUGAACAUACAACGGUAGAUUACUAUGUCUUCCAAAAACAUUGACAUCCCAUGGAACCUCUAAGACGGUUGUAUCUAAUUCUGUAGCAACUUCCACCAAUGCCGUCACAAGAUCAUCAAUGGAGAAUAUUUUCUUCUUUCGCAGAGGCAAUUUUGUCUUAGGUUCCUGCUACUCAUCAACAAACAAACAAAUACUUAAAUUAGUUAGAAUGUAAUAUAUCUAAUAUAUAAUUCUAUUAGUAUUAGUGCAAAGAUAUACCAUAGAGUCUAUAGGUCUGACGAGAUGUCUAGGCCAGGCAACGAAAGUAUGUAAUGCCUCUGCUACAAUUGUGACUUCUGAUGUCGACACAGGAGCUGCAAGAUCACCAUAAAAGACCUUCUCCACCGUGAACUUCAUGAAAUUAGAAGGAAGAGACACAUUGUGUAACAUUUUGACCCCUUCAUAACACUUACCCAAGGCAACGAAUCGGGUCAAAGAAUUACACUCAACAUAUAACUCGCAUUGGCUAGUUGAGCCAAAGUCAUCCCUCGAUAGAUCAACCGCCGAACAACUGCCUUUAGUGUUGACUUUCUUAAUAGGAGGCGGAACUGGUUCAUCUUCUACCAUAAUAGGUGGUUGCUGAGAGAGUCAUAAACCAUCCCACCGCGUUUUGAACUCCAUUUCCAUUCGCACAUUAAACUCCUCCAUGAAGCUUUCUUUAAACUCUUGAGUUACCUCAGCCUUUAACUGUUCACGUAAUUGUAGUAAAUACUCUUAGCUAGGUUGAUUGAACGAUUGUUCCUUGCUAUGUGAUGAAGGUCCAAAGUAUGAGCGAAUCCCAACCCCAUAUCCAGCUACACGAACACGUCCAGGGUGCUUAGGUCGUCCGAGAGCAACAUUAAGAAUAUCAUUGCGACCACAUGGAUUAAAAGUCCGCUGUGUUGAUUGCUUAGCAAGAGAAUCCAAAAAACAAGUGAAAAGAAAUUGUCAAACUUCAACACAUUGAAUUUAAAAUAACACAUAGAAAACAUAUUUCUUACAAUUCGUUCAACUGUUUCUUCUGUAGACUUAGAACUCCAUGUCCCUAAUGGGUUUAUACGAGCACCCUUCCACAUCUCAUGUCGGGGUGGUGGGGAUGGAGGCCUCAAAGAAUCUACACUAUUCAUUUCCUCAAUGGAAGUAGAACGUGCUUUAAUCUUUUCUUCAAACAUCUUUUGCUCUAACAACUUAUAACCACCACGGGACAAUAAGUGUGGGGUAUCAUUAUGUGCCUGACUGACUUUUUCUUUGUUCCAAACCUCCUAUCAUAACAUUCAAAAUUUAAUAAUACGUUAAUAUAAACUAUAUUCAAAUAUAAAAGUGAUAUUAACCUGCCAUUUUUCAGUUUGUCGAAUCUCACAAAUUGCUGCCAAGUUUCUUCAUCAAGGGAUGCAUAUUUUGUACAAGGAUUUUCUUCAUUCCUUUUACCAUAUAUAUAAUCUGUUGUCAAUUUUGAUUUGAACUGACGAAAUUUGACACCCACAUCAGAAAGAACCUUCGCUUUCAAGGUUUCCACAUUCAGGAUAUUGUAAUGCGUCUACAUUAUUUGAAAGAAUUAGUUCAUAAACAAGAACAAAAUAUAAAAGAACUUUAGAUUGAACAAAGUAAAAACAAUUACAUACCAGAAUAUCUUGCCAAAUCAUGUUUUUCUCGUGGUCAGUCACGUGAUCCCAGGACUCAGUUAAGAUAAAGAUCCUUUCACGAGACAGUACUCCGAGAUAACUCCUAUAUUUCUUUGCAUGUUGCCCAGUGGCCACACCAGUGUGGAUAUCAAUAGACAAAGGUAUUUUGUCAUCUUUAUUUAUCUUUUUAAACAUAUUCUUUAAUCUAGUAGGUCAUCUACCAGUUUUUGAACGAGAAACUUUAUCAUCUGCCAUGUUCCUGUUAUCAAGAAUAUGAUAAGCAUCAAGAAUAUGAAAUAUAAUUAAAAUUAUAUAUUGUAAAACUAAACAUGAAGCACAUGCACAUACACAUACAUAUUCCUUCGUCAUGAUCAUUUCGAGUUGCAUGUACAAGAUCAGCAACAUCCUCGUACUCUUUAUUGAUGGUCGUUCUUGUAAGUGAUUCAAUCUCACAAAUGUCGUUGUUUGUAUCUUCUAGGUCAUUAUGCUGUUUUUUUCCAUGUAGCACAACAAACCAGUGGUCAGACGUAGGAUCUUGGAUAUAGAAAACUUGGUAAGCUUGAUGUGCCAUUAUGAAUGGUUCGUCAUGAUAACCUAUCUUUCGAAAGUCAACCAAAGUCAUUCUUGAUUCAUCAACUUUGACACCAAUCUUAUUGUCAACCCACUUGCAUUUGAAAACAAGUACAGUAAACUUGGUAUAAUUAACUUCCCAAAUCUCUACUAUGACACCAUAAUAAGACAUUGAUCCCACAACAGGAUUUUGAUCCUUUGUAGUUGAAAACUGCAUAGACUAUGCCUCUAAGGUGACUUCGCUAUUUUGCAUUGUACUCCUAUCAUCUCGAGACUUUGUGUAAAACAAACAACCAUUUACUUCAUAGCGAGAACAACAUAAAACAUCAAAUUUGAGACCAUUUGCAAGCCAUGUUAAUGUUUCAGAUGCUGAUGGAUCAUUCAUUAUUUGUUGUUUAAACCAUGACAUGAAAGUUUUGUUAUGCUCAAUUAACACCCAUUUUUCUGAUUGUCUUGGAUUUUUAUAAUUGACAAUGUCUUUGUGUGUAUCUAAGUAUGGUAACACCUCAUCAAUGUGAUUUAAGAUAUACAAGUGUGCUUGCAGAACCUCUUCUCUAGAUUUGCUUAUGACAUGUACACCUUUUGAAGAUCUACUUAUGAAUCUACGAGAGUGCCAACCUUUUUCAGGAACUCCUAUACAUUUGGCUUUUCACAUGUACUCGGAACAAAACUCAAUAGAUUNNNNNNNNNNNNNNNNNNNNNNNNNNNNNNNNNNNNNNNNNNNNNNNNNNNNNNNNNNNNNNNNNNNNNNNNNNNNNNNNNNNNNNNNNNNNNNNNNNNNAUCUUUCAAUAAUGGAAGCUUCCAGACGACAUUGAUUCUUCACAUAUCCCUUCAAAAUCUUCAUGUAUCUUUCAACUGGAUACAUCCAUCGCAUAUAAACUGGCCCACACAAUCUGAUUUCUCUUACAAGAUGAACAACCAAGUGUACCAUAAUAUCAAAAAAAGAUGGAGGAAAAAACAUCUCGAGUUGACACAAGAUAACAAUUAUUUCUUCUUCAAGUUCAUCCCACUUCUGAGAGUUAAUCUCUUUACUACAUAUGGAAUUGAAAAAUGAGCACAGUGGAGCGAUUGUAUGCCUAACAUUUUUUGGCAAGAUUCCACGAAUAGCCACCGGUAGUAAUUGUUGCAUUAGAACGUGACAAUCAUGUGACUUUAAGCCAAUUAGUUUCAAAUCAUUCAUAGAUACAAGACUCUUCACAUUUGAAGAGUAGCCUUGUGGUACCUUAACACCUUUAAGACAUUCACAAAAACUUGUUUUCUCUUUAUUUGACAAAAUGUAACACGCUGUAGGCAAGUAUGUACGUUUACCAACUUUUCUCGGUGCCAAUUCCUCUCGUAUAUUCAUCUCAAUCAAAUCCAGACGUGCAUUCACACCAUCCUUUGUUUUGCCUUUAAUGUUCAGAAGUGUUCCUAUUAGACUGUCACACACAUUCUUUUCUACGUGCAUUACAUCUAGACAGUGUCUGACAUCUAACUUACACCAAUACGGAAGAUAAAAAAAGAUUGAUCUCUUCUUCCAUAUUUCACUCACAGUUGGCUUCUUCUUCAUUAUUCCAAAAGUCACAUUAACAUUUUUUAUUUUUUCAUAAAUUUCAACACCACUUAAGGGUGUCGGACAAAUGUCAUGUUCUUGGUAUCCGUCAAAAGCUUUUUUCAAUCUACGAUACAAAUGAUAUUUCUUUAGAAAUCCAUGAUGCCCAAGAUACACGGUUUUUCUUCUGUGUUUCAACUGCUCAUAAGAUGUCUUGUCUUGACAUAUUGGACAUGCUCUAUGACCUUUCACACUAUAAGCUGACAAGUUCCCAUAUGCAGGGAAGUCAUUGAUAGUACAAAACAACAUUGCAUGCAAUCGGAAAGAUUCAUUCUUAAACGCGUCAAACACAUCAACCCCUUCAUUCCACAAUAACUUCAAAUCUUCAACCAGUGGAUUAAGAUAAACAUCUAUGUCAUUUCCAGGUUGAUUUGGACCAGAGAUCAUCAUAGAUAGCAUCAUGUAUUUGCGCUUCAUACACAAAGCAGGAGGUGAGUUGUAAAUCACUAACAAAACGAGCCAUGAACUAUGAUUACUACUUAAGUUUCCAAAGGGAUUCAUUCCAUCAGUUGCCAAUCCAAGUCUUAAGUUUCUUGAUUAUUUUCCAAAUACAGGAAAUUCUUUAUCAAUAUUCUUCCACUGCAAAGAAUCAGCAGGAUAACGAAGUAGUCCAUCACAUUUUCUAUUAUCUGCAUGCCACCUAAGGUUUUUAGCGUCAUCUGCAUUUGCAAACAAACGCUUAAGCCUUGGAAUUAUUGGAAGAUACCAAACAACCUUAGCAGGAGGACCUUCCUUUGUGAAUUCAUCAAUUUCAUCAUUCUGACCAACUUUAACCUUAUAACGUGACAAACCACACCUGGGACAUCUUGUUAAAUCUUCAUACUCAUUUAUGUAUAAAAUACAAUCGUUAGGACAUGAAUGUAUUUUUCUAUAUUCCAUACCCAUUGGACAAAGUAUUUUUUUGCCUCAUAAUUUUGAUUGGGCAAGGUAUUUCCUUCUGGAAGCAUGUCCUUAAGUAAUUGAAGCAAUUCUGUAAAACUUUUGUCGGUCCAUCCAUUCAUUGCCUUCAAAUUCAUCAACCUUAACACUGCUGAUAAUCGUGUGAAAUUAGUUGAACCAGUAUACAAAGGAGUCUCUGCAUCAUUAGACAUAUUUUCGAAAACUGCAUUAGCAAAAGAUUCUGAUCACAUAUCACGAAUCAUGUCUUCUAUUCUAUCAUCCAUUGAGAAAUGAACUUCCUCGGAACCUCCGUGCACACUUGGCAAGUCUAACAAUUCACUAUGCCACAUCCAUGUUGUAUAACUUUUCAAAAAUCCAUCACACAAAAGAUGUUCUCUAAUUUCAGAAACACUCAAUAUCCUUCCAUUUAAAAAAUUGACACAAGGGCACCUUAUCCUUACUCCAUUCUUAUAACUAACGGCAUUAUGUUCUGCGAAGUGUAUGAAUUCUUCCACCCCAUUUUCGUAAGUAUCACUUAUUCGUGGUGUAUUAAUCCAACUCCGAUCCAUAGAACUGUUAAACUAAGAACCAGUGUAGACUUAGAACCAAUGUGUUCAAUAAGUAAUCAUUAAAAAAUAAAUCAAAAUUGCCGAAGGUCGGACACCUCCAGACUCAGAACCAGUGCGUUCAAUAUGUCAAAACAAUAUAUAACUAAUAAAAACUAAAUCAAAAUUGUCGAAGGUCGGAUACCUCCGGACUCAAAAUCAGUGCACUCAAUAUCUCAAAACAAUAUAUAAUCAUUGAAAAUUAAAUCAAAAUUGCCGAAGGUCGGACACCUUCGGAGUCAGAAUCAGUUCGUUUAAUAUAUAGAAUCAGUAGCUAACUAUAAAAAAAAUACUUUUAAAAUAUAGUUAAUAAUAUAUAAAAAUAUACUAACCUUAGUACAGCCGGCGAUCGCGGUCGGAGGGUACGGUGGCGCGGCACGGAGGUCACUGGUCGGUGGACGGUAGGUGCGGAACGACGGUCGUCUAGGCGCCAACGAGUAUGGCGAAUGCGGGCGGCAGUCGUGGGCGUGGGGUCGCGCGGAUGGGGGCGACGGUCGUGGGCGCACGCGGACGCCAGGGGGUGACGGUCGCGGUAGGGGGGCGCACGGUCGGCGGUGCGGGGUCGCGCGGGCGGGACAGCGUCGGCGGCAGGGUCGGUCGGCGAUGGAACUUGGUAGUCUGGCGGUAGUAAGGGUUGCGGAGGCACGAUUUGUGAGAAAGAAUGUAAGGUUUGUGAGAAUGUGAGAGUCUAAAAAUCUGGAAGAACCGUUAUAGAAACGCAGCUUUUAACGACGGUUCUUGGCGCGAACCGUCGUUGUAUCUUUACCGUAUGCUUUUAAUGACGGUUUUGGCGCGAACCAUCGUUAAAAGUCUAAAAAAAUUGAAAAAAAUUACAGGAUUGCCACCGCGUCGUUUUUAACGAUGGUUGUCACCAAACCGUCUUUGAAGGGUGUCGUUAUUGAAGAAUAUUGUACUAGUGCCACCAUUUGAAGAGGUCUCACUCUCAUAAGAUAAGACCAAUGAAGAGAGCACACAAGUCUCACUCACAAUUUGUGCAGAAUUUCCUUUCUAUUUCAAAAUUCAAUGUACCAAUAAUGAGGCAAGACACCCUAUUUAUAGGAAAGGGUGCCUUGAUGGGCAAGUUGAGCAAGGGUGGAAAGGGAAAAGAGAGGGACGGCCAAGGGGAUUAACUAAGGUCAAAACCACCCCUUUGGCUAGGUUUCUAGAAGGUAGGGCAACCUUCCUUCCUAAAGGGCUAGGCACAAGUUAAAAUGAUAACCACACCCUCCAUAUUAUGCUAAAAGAACCUAUUUUUCUAUUUGGACCCGUAAAGUGAGCUCAAAUUAUUUACAACAUGUUUUUAUUUUUAAAAAGACCAGAAGAAAGAACAGUUGAUGUUCUGGCCUAUGCCCAAUUCUUCUUCUUGUGAGGUCCUUCUUAUAUUUGGUGGGGCUUUGGUUUGACUGUUGAGAUGACUGCUCACAGUGUGAUUUGUCUCUUGAGUCCUUGAUCAUCAUCUUCUUGGCUUCUUGGAAUGCAUCAUGCCCUCUGAUAAGUGUCUAAUUUCAGUAAUAUUUCAUAUUAAAAUAUAGACACUUAUGAGGAUUUAUUGCUAAUUUACAUAUAAAAUAAUCCUUCAUUUAUGAAUUUAUACCUUUUUACAUUUUUUAUGAGCUUUAUUUGAAUAAGAACAUUUUAUUCCCAAAUUUGGUGUCAAUUGCAGAUUUUUAGGGAGAAUUGAAGAUUUGGAGUAAAGGAGAAUAAUUUGAGCAAAAAGAGAAAGCUGGAAGGUCCCAUAAUGGAAAUAGAUGCAAAGAAAGAUACAGGAAGCGACCUAAUCCUAGAAAACUAGGAUAAAUAGGGGCUAGAGGCUCAACCCUAGUGUGUCAGAUAUAGAGGAAAACACCAUAGAGUGAAUUGUAACCCAACUGGGAGAAUGGAAGGUGCUAGAAGUAUGCGUGGCUAAUUCUACCCUUUGGGAUUGGGAGUAGUCUGUUCAAACUCUUAUGUAUUGAGGUGAUAUUUUAUAUAUUAAUAUUCGGUUCUUGAUUGAUUAUUGGUAUUGUUGUUUUACUUUUAACUUUCCG
rnacentral:lncRNA from 1 species